UGGGGGAUAUUGCACAAUGGGCGAAAGCCUGAUGCAGCGACGCCGCGUGGGGGAUGAAGGCUUUCGGGUUGUAAACCUCUUUCGCUAUCGAACAAGGCCCGCUUAGGGUGGGUUGAGGGUAGGUGGAGAAGAAGCGCCGGCUAACUACGUGCCAGCAGCCGCGGUAAUACGUAGGGCGCGAGCGUUGUCCGGAAUUAUUGGGCGUAAAGGGCUUGUAGGCGGCUUGUUGCGCCUGCUGUGAAAACGCGGGGCUUAACUUCGCGCGUGAAGUGGGUACGGGCAGGCUAGAUUGUGGUAGGGGUGACUGGAAUUCCAGGUGUAGCGGUGGAAUGCGCAGAUAUCUGGAGGGACACCGAUGGCGAAGGCAGGUCACUGGGCCAUUACUGACGCUGAGGAGCGAAAGCAUGGGUAGCGAACAGG
rnacentral:rRNA from 1 species